CCACAGAGACAAGCGCUUCCGCUUCUACUGGUGAUAUGGGAAGGGCCCACUCACUGAACUAACUCCCUUCCCUCUACUCCCAGAGCCCGCCCGGCAGGACCACCGAGCAAGGCCUUGGAAAACCAGAGAGAUUAGAGCGCAGAAUGGGGAAAUGGAGAGAGAACCUGAAAGAGCCCCAAACUCGAGGACCUAUUGCUCCCCAAGAAUAACAUCUUCCAGAAGAACUAGACAGAAAACUAGGCGUCUGGGAACUCUGAAAUCCUUGGAGGAGUAGCAUCAUCAUGACCCUCUGUGUUCCUUUUGGCAAAGGACUUGCUCCCAUUGUUUGCUUGUUCCAUUGUCUGUCUGUUAAAUAAAUAAAACCCUUUUCAUAUAUCUUUAAACUUA
rnacentral:lncRNA from 1 species